rnacentral:tRNA from 1 species
GGGGUUGUGGCUCAGCAGUAGAGCACUCACCUCACAUGUGUGAGGAACCAGGUUCGAUCCUCAGCACCA